GGGGAAUAUUGGACAAUGGGCGCAAGCCUGAUCCAGCCAUGCCGCGUGGGUGAAGAAGGCCUUCGGGUUGUAAAGCCCUUUUGUUGGGAAAGAAAAGCAGCCGGCCAAUACCCGGUUGUUCUGACGGUACCCAAAGAAUAAGCACCGGCUAACUUCGUGCCAGCAGCCGCGGUAAUACAAGGGUGCAAGCGUUACUCGGAAUUACUGGGCGUAAAGCGUGCGUAGGUGGUGGUUUAAUCCGUUGUGAAAGCCCUGGGCUCAACCUGGGAAGUGACUGGGAGCUUGGACACUGAGGGGGGGACGGGGGUAGGUGAAUUUCCGGGGUAGCAGGUAAAUGCCGUGGAGAUCGGAGGAAAAACAGUUGGGAAGGGGAAUGGCCGGGCCAAAACUUACACUGGGGCAAGUAAGGGGUGGGAGCAAACA
rnacentral:rRNA from 1 species